GCGCCCGUAGCUCAGCGGAAUAGAGCAUCGGUCUUCGGAACCGGGGGUCGUGGGUUCGAAUCCCACCGGGCGCACCA
rnacentral:tRNA from 1 species